rnacentral:pre_miRNA from 1 species
UUCCUCUCAACAUUGCCGCCGUUCCAUUCCCAUUCCAUUCCGGGGUCGCGAAAAUGCGGAAUGAUUCCGGAAUCAUUCCGCAUUUUCGCGACCCCGGAAUGGAAUGGGAAUGGAAUGGCGGCAACGUUGAGGGGAA